rnacentral:sRNA from 1 species
CCUCGUAUACUUGCUGCGGGCAGAUGUAGUGCACAUGCGCGUCAAUGGCGCCUGCGGUGAGGAUGAGCUUUUCGCCCGCGAUGACUUCGGUCGAGGAGCCGAUCACAAGGUCCGGGUGCACGGAAGACAUGAUGUCGGGGUUGCCUGCUUUGCCAAUGCCUGCGAUGCGGCCGUCUUUUACACCGACGUCUGCCUGUAAUACAGUGUUUACGUGAAGUGAUGACGAACAUGCGCGACGUGCUCACUUUGUAUAUGCCAGACCAGUCCACGAUGAGGGCGUUGGUGAUGACAAGGUCAAGACAUUCAGAUGCGGAUCGGUUGGUAGCCUGGCCCAUGCCCUCCCGUAUG